AUGCCGAGCCGCCCAGCGGCUAUCUUAGAUUAUUCAAACAAUAGUUUCUCUUCAGUGCUUCCAAACUUCACUCUCUAUCUUGGCCAUGAGUUCAGGAUUUCUAAAAACAAGAUUAGUGGACACAUACCUAAGUCAGUUUGUGAUUCAACUAUUCGUGUCCUCGACCUAUCUUUUAACAACUUCAGCAGGCAGAUACCUUCAUGUCUAAUAGAAGAUGGUUACAUGAGCGUGUUGAGUUUACGGGAGAAUCAAUUUGAAGGUAUGUUGCCUAACAACAUCAAAGACAAUUGUUUCCUUCACACAUUAGACUUGAACAACAAUAAAAUUGAAGGGCAGCUUCCAAGGACACUUACCAAGUGCUUGCAGCUGGAGUUCAUUGACAUAGGAAACAAUAACAUGGUAGGUACUUUUCCAUCAUAUCUGGGGGUACUUUCCAGACUUCGUGUCCUUGUCAUGAGAUCCAACCGAUUCUAUGGCUCAAUGAGUGGUGCUCUUCACAGCGGUGACAAAUCUGGAGAAUACUUCUCUAGCUUGCAGAUUCUUGAUGUUGCCUCGAACAAUUUCUUUGGUAAUUUGAGUCCAGAUUGGUUUGAGGGGUUGAAAUCAAUGAUGACAGAGUUGAACAGUACUGGUGAAAUUAUGAGUGCUUUGAAUGGAAGUGGUAAUGUUGAACAUCCCUAUCAGGAUACUGUUACUAUAUACUAUAAAAGCAUCUAUAGGACAUUCAAUAAGAUCUUGACAACUUUAACAGCCAUUGACUUAUCAAAUAAUUCAUUUGAUGGCACCAUUCCUGGAUCGCUUGGGAGGCUUACUUCGUUACAUGUACUAAACAUGUCAGGCAAUGCCUUCACCGGUCACAUUCCGCAAGUAUUUGGCAGGAUGACUCAACUAGAAUCACUCGACCUGUCUCAGAACCAGCUUUCCGGUGAUAUUCCAGCGGCACUAACAAAACUUAACUUUCUUGGUAUCUUGAACUUGUCCAACAAUCAGUUGGUGGGAAGGAUACCCCAGUCAGGUCAAUUUGCGACGUUUGAAAACAAUUCAUUUGAAGGGAAUCUGGGGCUGUGUGGACUGCCAUUGUCCAACCCCUGUGGCGUUUCACCUGCUCCUCCAAGCACCAUGCCUGCAGAUGAUUCGUCUCAUACUGAUGUGGUACUGUUUCUCUUCUCUGGGCUCGGCUUUGGUGUUGGAUUUGCAGCUGCCAUUCUGAUGAGAUGGGGUCUAAUCGGCAAAUGGUUUGUUAAAUCUGCAAGAGAUUUGAGGACUUGA
rnacentral:rRNA from 1 species